CCUACGGGGGGCAGCAGUGAGGAAUAUUGGUCAAUGGCCGGAAGGCUGAACCAGCCAAGCCGCGUGAAGGACGAAGGUGCCAAGCAUUGUAAACUUCUUUUGUCAAGGGACAAAAUCAGGCUCGAGAGCCUGACCGAGGGUACUUGAAGAAAAAGCAUCGGCUAACUCCGUUCCGGCAGCCGCGGUAAUACGAGGGAUGCGAGCGUUAUCCGGGUUUAUUGGGUUUAAAGGGUGCGUAGGUGGGCUGUUAAGUCAGCGGGAAAAGCCCGGGGCUCAACCCCGGCGAGCCGUUGAAACUGGCUGUCUUGAGAUGUCGAGAGGUAUGCGGAAUGCGCAGUGUAGCGGUGAAAUGCUUAGAUAUUGCGCGGAACUCCGAUGGCGAAGGCAGCAUACCGGCGGCGAUCUGACGCUGAGGCACGAAAGCGUGGGUAUCGAACAGGAUUAGAUACCCUUGUAGCC
rnacentral:rRNA from 1 species